AUUGAACGCUGGCGGCGUGCUUAACACAUGCAAGUCGAUCGGUAACGCGGGGGCAACCCUGGCGACGAGAGGCGGACGGGUGAGGAACGCUUGGGAAUCUGCCUAUCAGCGGGGGACAACACGGGGAAACUCGUGCUAAUACCGCAUACGCUCUACGGAGGAAAGCCGGGGACCGCAAGGCCUGGCCCUGAUAGAUGAGCCCAAGCCGGAUUAGCUAGUUGGCGGGGUAACGGCCCACCAAGGCGACGAUCCGUAGCUGGUCUGAGAGGAAGAUCAGGCACACUGGGACUGAGACACGGCCCAGACUCCUGCGGGAGGCAGCAGUGGGGAAUAUUGGACAAUGGGGGAAACCCUGAUCCGGCGACGCCGCGUGGGUGAAGAAGGCCUGCGGGUUGUAAAGCCCUUUCGGUAGGGACGAAAGCUCUCGACCUAACACGUCGGGAGGUUGACUUAACCUACAAAAGAAGCACCGGCUAACUCUGUGCCAGCCGCCGCCGUAAGAC
rnacentral:rRNA from 1 species